CGUUCCAUGGCCAAAAUGGUCAAGGAAUCGCCUAUAGGCGAAGAUGCGGGUUCGAGUCCCGCUGAAACGG
rnacentral:tRNA from 1 species